GACGAACGCUGGCGGCGUGCUUAACACAUGCAAGUCGAACGGAAAGGCCCUGCUUUUGUGGGGUGCUCGAGUGGCGAACGGGUGAGUAACACGUGAGUAACCUGCCCUUGACAUUGGGAUAACUUCAGGAAACUGGGGCUCAUACCGGAUAGGAGCUCCUGCUGCAUGGUGGGGGUUGGAAAGUUUCGGCGGUUUGGGCUGGACUCGCGGCUUAUCAGCUUGUUUGUGGGGUAGUGGCUUACAAAGGCUUUGACGGGUAGCCGGCCUGAGAGGUUGACCGGCCACCUUGGGCCUGCGGUACGGCCCAGACUCCUACGGGAGGCAGCAGGGGGGAAUAUUGCACAAUGGGCGGAAGCCUGAUGCGGCAACGCCGCGUGCGUGAUGACGGCCUUCGGGUUGUAAACCGCUUUCGCCUGUGCCGAAGCGUGAGUGACGGUAAUGGGUAAAGAAGCACCGGCUAACUACGUG
rnacentral:rRNA from 1 species